rnacentral:rRNA from 1 species
AUUGAACGCUGGCGGCAGGCCUAACACAUGCAAGUCGAACGGUAACAGGAAACAGCUUGCUGUUUCGCUGACGAGUGGCGGACGGGUGAGUAAUGUCUGGGAAACUGCCUGAUGGAGGGGGAUAACUACUGGAAACGGUAGCUAAUACCGCAUAACGUCGCAAGACCAAAGAGGGGGACCUUCGGGCCUCUUGCCAUCGGAUGUGCCCAGAUGGGAUUAGCUAGUAGGUGAGGUAACGGCGCACCUAGGCGACGAUCCCUAGCUGGUGUGAGGGAAUGACCAGCCACACUAGACCUGAGACCCGGUCCAGAACCCUACGGGAGUCAGCAGUGGGGAAUAUUGCACGAUGGGCGCAAGCCUUAUGCAGCCAUGCCGCGUGUAUGAAGAAGGCCUUCGGGUUGUAAAGUACUUUCAGCGGGGAGGAAGGGAGUAAAGUUAAUACCUUUGCUCAUUGACGUUACCCGCAGAAGAAGCACCGGCUAACUCCGUGCCAGCCGCCGCCGUAA